CCCUUAGAUGUCCUGGGCCGCACGCGCGCUACACUGAGUGUCUGAGAUACGAGUCUGCCUGGUCCGGCAAGGUCUAGGUAAUCGCUAAAAGACACAUCAUGCUUGGGAUAGAUUAUUGCAAAUAUUAAUCUUGAACGAGGAAUUCCUAGUAAGUGCAAGUCAACAGCUUGCGUUGAUUACGUCCCUGCCCUUUGUACACACCGCCCGUCGCUACUACUGAUUGGAUGUUUAAGCGAGGUUCUCGAACUGCUAGCGACUUAGCUUCGGUGAGGUCGCAGUGUGGGAAGUGAACCUAGCUUUGGUGUCUAGAGGAAGUAAAAGUCGUAACA
rnacentral:rRNA from 1 species